rnacentral:lncRNA from 1 species
CUCUGUCUCUGACUCUGUCUCUCUCUGUCUCUCUCUCUCUCUCGCUCCCUAUCUCUCUCUCAUCCUAUUGGAGAGAGGGUACGGGCGGCUAAAUAUACGAGAGCAGAGGGGGGGAGGCGACCCCACCGCUGCCAUCGCCACCCACCGGACCGGCGGGCCUCCGACGACGGCCGGCGACGAGCACUGAGCGCCGGAUCGGAUUCGGUAAACGAAAUCUCCACUGCACGUGCGGAGAAACAGGGGCCUUCCCUCCAUUCCGGCCCAAAGCGGCGUCUUUGUCCGGCCGGCAGGAGACGGGCAGUCGCCGGCGGCAGGGUAGGC